AGAGUGAACGCUGGCGGUAGGCCUAACACAUGCAAGUCGAACGGCAGCACAGUGGUAGCAAUACCAUGGGUGGCGAGUGGCGGACGGGUGAGGAAUACAUCGGAAUCUACCUUUUCGUGGGGGAUAACGUAGGGAAACUUACGCUAAUACCGCAUACGCCCUUCGGGGGAAAGCCGGGGAUCGCAAGACCUGGCGCGGAUAGAUGAGCCGAUGUCGGAUUAGCUAGUUGGU
rnacentral:rRNA from 1 species